GGCAAGAGAUGAGGAGAGAGAGAAAAGGGAGUCCUUGUGCACUCCUGGUGGGAACAUAAACUGGUGCAGCCACUAUGGAAAAAGUAUGGAGGUUCCUCAAAAAACUAAAAAUAGAACUACCAUAUCAGCCUGCAAUUCCACUUCUAAGUAUUU